rnacentral:rRNA from 1 species
CGGGUGAGUAACACGUGGGUGAUCUGCCUUGCACUUCGGGAUAAGCCUGGGAAACUGGGUCUAAUACCGGAUAUGACCACGAACUGCAUGGUUUGUGGUGGAAAGAUUUAUCGGUGCGAGAUGGGCCCGCGGCCUAUCAGCUUGUUGGUGAGGUAACGGCCCACCAAGGCGACGACGGGUAGCCGACCUGAGAGGGUGACCGGCCACACUGGGACUGAGACACGGCCCAGACUCCUACGGGAGGCAGCAGUGGGGAAUAUUGCACAAUGGGCGAAAGCCUGAUGCAGCGACGCCGCGUGCGGGAUGACGGCCUUCGGGUUGUAAACCGCUUUUGACAGGGACGAAGCGCAAGUGACUGUACCUGUAGAAUAAGGACCGGCCAACUACGUGCCAGCAGCCGCGGUAAUACGUAGGGUCCGAGCGUUGUCCGGAAUUACUGGGCGUAAAGAGCUUGUAGGCGGUUCGUCGCGUCGUUUGUGAAAACUUGGGGCUCAACCUUAAGCUUGCAGGCGAUACGGGCGGACUAGAGUACUUCAGGGGAGACUGGAAUUCCUGGUGUAGCGGUGAAAUGCGCAGAUAUCAGGAGGAACACCGGUGGCGAAGGCGGGUCUCUGGGAAGUAACUGACGCUGAGAAGCGAAAGCAUGGGUAGCAAACAGGAUUAGAUACCCUGGUAGUCCAUGCCGUAAACGGUGGGUACUAGGUGUGGGGCUCCUUCCACGGACUCCGUGCCGUAGCUAACGCAUUAAGUACCCCGCCUGGGGAGUACGGCCGCAAGGCUAAAACUCAAAGAAAUUGACGGGGGCCCGCACAAGCGGCGGAGCAUGUGGAUUAAUUCGAUGCAACGCGAAGAACCUUACCUGGGUUUGACAUACACCGGAAACCUGCAGAGAUGUAGGCCCCCUUGUGGUCGGUGUACAGGUGGUGCAUGGCUGUCGUCAGCUCGUGUCGUGAGAUGUUGGGUUAAGUCCCGCAACGAGCGCAACCCUUAUCUUAUGUUGCCAGCGCGUAAUGGCGGGGACUCGUGAGAGACUGCCGGGGUCAACUCGGAGGAAGGUGGGGACGACGUCAAGUCAUCAUGCCCCUUAUGUCCAGGGCUUCACACAUGCUACAAUGGCCGGUACAGAGGGCUGCGAUACCGCGAGGUGGAGCGAAUCCCUUAAAGCCGGUCUCAGUUCGGAUCGGGGUCUGCAACUCGACCCCGUGAAGUUGGAGUCGCUAGUAAUCGCAGAUCAGCAACGCUGCGGUGAAUACGUUCCCGGGCCUUGUACACACCGCCCGUCACGUCAUGAAAGUCG